CAGCCCUUGACAUGUCCGGCUACUUGCAGAGAUGCAAGGUUCCCUUCGGGGACCGGAACACAGGUGCUGCAUGGCUGUCGUCAGCUCGUGUCGUGAGAUGUUGGGUUAAGUCCCGCAACGAGCGCAACCCUCGCCCUUAGUUGCCAGCAUUUAGUUGGGCACUCUAAGGGGACUGCCGGUGAUAAGCCGAGAGGAAGGUGGGGAUGACGUCAAGUCCUCAUGGCCCUUACGGGCUGGGCUACACACGUGCUACAAUGGUGGUGACAGUGGGCAGCGAGACAGCGAUGUCGAGCUAAUCUCCAAAAGCCAUCUCAGUUCGGAUUGCACUCUGCAACUCGAGUGCAUGAAGUUGGAAUCGCUAGUAAUCGCGGAUCAGCAUGCCGCGGUGAAUACGUUCCC
rnacentral:rRNA from 1 species